rnacentral:ncRNA from 1 species
UUAAUUGUGAUGACGGGGUAAAGUAAACGGAACGGUCUUUUCAGGGAGGGAGCGUCAUAGACUGAAAGCGCUGCUAAAGUAUCAACCGUUGAAGGUUCACUCCUGAGCUGCCAGACUGAAACCCUAGGGAAAGUAGGUUUGGUCGGAGACUUCCACCGUUAAAAGGAAGGGGGUAUAAGAAAUAGAUAUUUAAUUAUAUUUUAUUUCCGUACUUACAAUGAGGAGGGGUCUUUUACAGACCCAAUCUGGGUGGUACCGCGAAAAAACACUUUUCGUCCCUUGA